GGGGCGUGAGGGUUCCGGGCCCCCCUCCUCACCCUCUGAGAAGAGCCGGGUCUGAGAACCAGGAACCGGCUGGACGCGUUCCUUCCCUGCCUCCGGCCUCCGUCUAGUUUCACUUUCUCUUUGUUCCCCCUCCCACGAAGCUCCCUUUGAAGUGAGCGGGGCCUCGAGGGGGCGGGUCCGGCCCGCGUCCUCCCCCUCCCCACCCGGGGGCGUGCACGCGGCUCGGGCUCCUGCCGGCUCUGGGCCGCCCGCACCUGUCCGGGCCACCGGGCGGACCAGCUCGGCCGGUGUCAUCCCCCCUCGCCCCCCGCGAUGUGAAGAGGUAUCUACAGUGUGCCAGGGACGUGGGGGACCGUUGAUAUUCUAAUGGGGCUGAUGGACAAUGAACAAGACAGGGAGGAAACAGUUGUAGUAAUUCACCAUGGGAGCUAAGGAGAAAAAGGGAUCCCAAGAAGACGGUCAAGGGGGUCACGCAGAGUGUGGUCCACAGCUGAUGCCAGCAGAGCGGACUGCCUUCCCCCCAGCGCACAGCGCCCCGAAGGAGGGCUGGGCCAAGUGGCCUUCUUCUCCCAACCCGAAGGUGCCCUUAGGGCUGAGGGGCUUCCCUCGUGGACACGGCUGGGCGGUCAUCCCUGGCUGCUCUCCUGGGGCAUCCUUCCUCCACUGCAGACGCCAGCCCAGCCUCAGCAGGGGUGCCGAGGGGACCCUGGUGAGCCGACCGGCCCGCGGAA